rnacentral:lncRNA from 7 species
GUGUCCCUAUGGGUCUCUAUGGGGCUUUUAUAGGGUCCCUAUGUGUCUCUAUGGGUCUCAAUGUGUCCCAAUGGGUCCCUAUGUGUCUCUAUGUGUCGCUAUGUGUCUCUAUGGGGUUUUUAUAGGGUCCCUAUGUGUCUCUAUGGGUCUCUAUGGGGUUUUUAUAGGGUCCCUAUAGGUCUCUAUGGGGUCGCUAUGGGUCGCGAUGUGUCCCUAUGGGGUCUCUAUGGGUCUCUAUGGGUCCCAAUGUGUCGCUAUGGGUCCCAAUGUGUCCCUAUAUGUCUCUAUGGGUCUCUAUGGGGUCUCUAUGGGUCUCUAUGGGUCGCGGUGUGUCGCUAUGGGUCGCGAUGUGUCCCUAUGGGGUCUCUAUGGGGUCCCUAUGGCUCUCUAUGGGGUCUCUAUGGGGUCUCUAUGGGUCCCAAUGUGUCCCUAUGGGGUCCCUAUGUGUCCCUAUGGGUCUCUAUGGGUCCCAAUGGGUCCCUAUGGGUCUCUAUGGGUCUCUAUGGGGUCCUAUGUGUCCUAUGGGUCUCUAUGGGUCCUAUGUGUCCCUAUGGGUCUCUAUGGGUCUCUAUGGGUCUCUAUGGGUCUCUAUGGGUCUCUAUGGGUCUCUAUGGGUCCCUAUGUGUCCCUAUGGGUCUCUAUGGGUCCUAUGGUCCUAUGUGUCCUAUGGUCCUAUGUGUCCCUAUGGGUCGUAUGGGUCUCUAUGGGUUUUAUGGUCCUAUGUGUCUCUAUGGGUCUCUAUGUGUCCCUAUGGUCUCUAUGUGUCGCUAUGGGUCUCUAUGGGCUUUUAUAGGGUCCUAUGUGUCUCUAUGGGUCGCUAUGGGUCUCUAUGGGUCUUUCGGGUCUCUAUGGGGUCCCUAUGUGUCUCUAUGGGUCCUAUGGUCUCUAUGGGGUCCCUAUGUGUCCCUAUGGGGUCCUCUAUGGGUCUCUAUGGGUUGUCGCUAUGGGUCUCUAUGGGGUCUCUAUGGGUCUCUAUGGGUCUCCUAUGGGUCUCUAUGGGUCUCUAUGGGUCUCUAUGGUCUAUGGGGUCUCUAUGGGUCCUCUAUGGGUCUCUAUGGGGUCCCUAUGUGUCCCUAUGGUGUCUCUAUGGGUCUCUAUGUGUCCCUAUGGUCGCUAUGGGUCCCUAUGGGUCCUCUAUGGGGUCUCUAUGGGUCUCUAUGUGGUUUUCUCUAUGGGUCCCUAUGUGUCUCUAUGGUGUCUCUAUGGGUCUCUAUGGGUCCUUGUCCUAUGGGUCCCUAUGGGUCUCUAUGGGUCUCUAUGUGUCCCAUGUGUCCCUAUGGGUCUCUAUGGGUCUUAUGGGUCCCUAUGGGUCUCUAUGGGUCUCCUAUGUGCCAGGUCCCUAUGUGUCUCUAUGGGUCCCUAGUGGGUCCCUAUGUGGUCUCUAUGGGGUCCCUAUGGGUCUCUACGGGUCUCUAUGGGGUCUCUAUGGGUCUCUAUGGGUCUCUAUGGGUCUCUAUGGGGUCUCUAUGGGUCUCUAUGGGGUCUCUAUGGGUCCUAUGGCUCUAUGUGUCCCUAUGGUGUCUCUAUGGGGUCCUGGUCCUAUGGGUCUCUAUGGGGUUUUGCUAUGGGUCCCUAUGUGGUCUCUAUGUGUCUCUAUGGGGUUUUUAUAGGGGUCCCUAUGUGUCUCCUAUGGGUCUCUAUGGGGUAUGGUUUUUAUAGGGUCCCUAUGGUGUCUCUAUGGGUCCCUAUGGGUCUCUAUGGGGUCCCUAUGUGUCUCUAUGGGUCGCUAUGGGUCUCUAUGGGGCUUUUAUAGGGUCCCUAUGUGUCUCUAUGGGUCUCUAUGAGGUUUUUAUAGGGUCCCUAUGGGGUCUCUAUGGUCCCUAUGGGUCUCUAUGGGGUCCUGCUAUGUGUCCCUAUGGGGUUCUCUAUGGGGUCCCUAUGGGUUCUAUGGGUCUCUAUGGGUCGCUAUGGGUCUCUAUGGGGUUUUUAUAGGGUCCCUAUGGGUCUCUAUGGGUCGCUAUGGGUCGCGAUGUGUCCCUAUGUGUCCCUGUGGGUCUCUAUGGGUCUCUAUGGGGUCUCUAUGGGUCUCUAUGGGUCUCUAUGGGGUCUCUAUGGGUCUCUACGGGUCUCUAUGGGUCUCUAUGGGUCUCUAUGGGUCUCUAUGGGGUCUCUAUGGGGUCUCUAUGCCUCUCAAUGUAUCCCUAUGUGUCUCAAUGGGUCCCUAUGGGGUCCCUGUGGGUCUCUAUGGGGUCCCUAUGGGUCUCUAUGGGUCGCAAUGUGUCCCUAUGGGGUCCCUAUGUGUCUCUAUGGGUUUUUAUGGGGUCCCAAUGUGUCCCUAUGAGUCUCUAUGGGGUCCCAAUGUGUCCCUAUGGGUCUCUAUGGGGUCCCUAUGUGUCUCUAUGGGUUUCUAUGGGGUUUUUAUAGGGUCCCUAUGUGUCUCUAUGUGUCGCUAUGGGUCUCUAUGGGGUUUUUAUAGGGUCCCUAUGGGUCUCUAUGGGUCGCUAUGGGUCUCUAUGGGGUUUUUAUAGGGUCCCUAUGGGGUCUCUAUGUGUCCCUAUGGGUCUCUAUGGGUCUCUAUGGGGUUUUUAUAGGGUCCUUAUGUGUCUCUAUGGGUCGCUAUGGGUCUCUAUGGGGCUUUUAUAGGGUCCCUAUGUGUCUCUAUGGGUCUCUAUGUGUCCCAAUGGGUCCCUAUGUGUCUCUAUGUGUCGCUAUGGGUCUCUAUGGGGUUUUUAUAGGGUCCCUAUGUGUCUCUAUGGGUCCCUAUGGGUCGCUAUGGGUCUCUAUGGGGCUUUUAUAGGGUCCCUAUGUGUCUCUAUGGGUCUCUAUGUGUCCCAAUGGGUCCCUAUGUGUCUCUAUGUGUCGCUAUGUGUCCCUAUGGGGUUUUUAUAGGGUCCCUAUGGGUCUCUAUGUGUCCCUAUGUGCCUCUAUGGGUCUCUAUGGGUCGCUAUGGGUCGCGCAGUGUCGGUUCCGCCCCACUCACUCCACGUGACGGCCGCCAACGCCUCCGUGCAGACGUCGCUCUCCGCCCCACAGCGGACGGUUAUGGGGCGGCUGCAGUUCCCAUCCGCCGCCCCACAGCUCAGACAGCGCAGCCCCACAGCGCCUGCGGGACCCACAGCUAUGGGGCGGGACCCCAUCUAUGGGGCAGGAUCCCCGUCUAUGGGGCGGGACCCCAUUUUAUGGGGUAGGAUCCCCAUCUAUGGGGCGGGACCCACAGCUAUGGGG